AGUUCGGAAUCGAUAACCGCUGAAAGCAUCUAAGCGGGAAGCGAGCCCUGAGAUGAGUUUUCCCUGACACUUUAAGUGUCCUAAAGGGUUGUUCAAGACUAGAACGUUGAUAGGCAGGGUGUGUAAGUGCUGCGAGGCGUUGAGCUAACCUGUACUAAUUGCCCGUGAGGCUUAACCAUACAACACCCAAGGGGUUU
rnacentral:rRNA from 1 species